AGUUAUGGCCAUAGCACUCUGAACACACCAGAUCUCGUCUGAUAUAGGAAGCUAAGCAGAGUCAGGCCUGAUGAGUACCUGGAUGGGAGAAAGCCUGAAGUGAUGAAGC
rnacentral:rRNA from 1 species